CCUACGGGUGGCAGCAGUGAGGAAUAUUGGUCAAUGGGCGAGAGCCUGAACCAGCCAAGUCGCGUGAAGGAUGACGGCCCUACGGGUUGUAAACUUCUUUUGUCAGGGAGCAAUUGAGUCCACGUGUGGGCUUAGCGAGAGUACCUGCAGCGAAAGCGUCGGCAAACUCCGGGCCAGCAGCCGCGGAAAUACGGGGGAUGCGAGCGUUAUCCGGAUUUAUGGGGUUAAAGGGGUGCGUGGGCGGAAUGUAAAGUCAGCGGUAAAAAUUCGGGGCGAAACCCCGUCGUGCCGUUGAAACUGAUGUUCUUGAGUGGGCGAGAAGUAUGCGGAAUGCGUGGUGUAGCGGUGAAAUGCAUAGAUAUCACGCAGAACUCCGAUUGCGAAGGCAGCAUACCGG
rnacentral:rRNA from 1 species